rnacentral:sRNA from 1 species
UCUUAGCCCCGAUUGUAGUGAAAAUCCUUUUUUGAAAAAAAAAUUGCAACGGAAAGCGGGGAAUAGC